rnacentral:rRNA from 1 species
CCUACGAGUGGCUGCAGUGGGGAAUAUUGGACAAUGGGCGAAAGCCUGAUCCAGCCAUGCCGCGUGUGUGAAGAAGGCCUUCGGGUUGUAAAGCACUUUCAGUGGGGAAGAAAGCCUUGGGGCUAAUACCCUCGAGGAAGGACAUCACCCACAGAAGAAGCACCGGCUAACUCCGUGCCAGCAGCCGCGGUAAUACGGAGGGUGCGAGCGUUAAUCGGAAUUACUGGGCGUAAAGCGCGCGUAGGCGGUCUGAUAAGCCGGUUGUGAAAGCCCCGGGCUCAACCUGGGAACGGCAUCCGGAACUGUCAGGCUAGAGUGCAGGAGAGGAAGGUAGAAUUCCCGGUGUAGCGGUGAAAUGCGUAGAGAUCGGGAGGAAUACCAGUGGCGAAGGCGGUCUUCUGGACUGACACUGACGCUGAGGUGCGAAAGCGUGGGUAGCAAACAGGAUUAGAUACCCGAGUAGUC